rnacentral:rRNA from 1 species
GAUGAACGCUGGCGGCGUGCCUAAUACAUGCAAGUCGAGCGAACAGACGAGGAGCUUGCUCCUCUGACGUUAGCGGCGGACGGGUGAGUAACACGUGGAUAACCUACCUAUAAGACUGGGAUAACUUCGGGAAACCGGAGCUAAUACCGGAUAAUAUAUUGAACCGCAUGGUUCAAUAGUGAAAGACGGUUUUGCUGUCACUUAUAGAUGGAUCCGCGCCGCAUUAGCUAGUUGGUAAGGUAACGGCUUACCAAGGCGACGAUGCGUAGCCGACCUGAGAGGGGGAUCGGCCACACGGGAACGGAGACACGGUCCAGACUCCUACGGGAGGCAGCAGUAGGGAAUCUUCCGCAAUGGGCGAAAGCCUGACGGAGCAACGCCGCGUGAGUGAUGAAGGUCUUCGGAUCGUAAAACUCUGUUAUUAGGGAAGAACAAAUGUGUAAGUAACUAUGCACGUCUUGACGGUACCUAAUCAGAAAGCCACGGCUAACUACGUG